rnacentral:rRNA from 1 species
ACGGGAGGCAGCAGUGGGGAAUAUUGCACAAUGGGCGAAAGCCUGAUGCAGCGACGCCGCGUGAGGGAUGACGGCCUUCGGGUUGUAAACCUCUUUCAGCAGGGAAGAAGCGCAAGUGACGGUACCUGCAGAAGAAGCACCGGCUAACUACGUGCCAGCAGCCGCGGUAAU